CAUUUCGAGGCCUUUUUCCUUCAGGAUUGAAGAGAACCUUCCAGCACCUCUCUUUAACGGAUUCUCGUGCAUUGGAGAAAAUGGAUGGAACAGUUUGGGGCUUUGGAGCCGCCUGCCGUUCUCGCGUGAGCACCUCCCACUGCCUUGACUUUUUAUUGGGCUGCGUGCUUGGUGCCAAGAUUUACUCCGCCGCUGUGGGGAACAACUGGAUUUGGCAUAAGUGAGAAUAACUGCUUUUCCCCUGGGGAGAGACAAAAAGGUCUUUCUCCAAAUUCAAAGCCUCAAAAACCUGUCUGGCAAAUCCAUCCUUGGAAGACUGGAGAUAAGAAAAAGAGUGGGCAAAAUAGAGUCCUCUUGAACAAAAAGGUGUUGCUAAACACUUAUAUUUUCUUACUCCUAAAAGAAAGGCCCCUUUCAGUAUAGUGCUAUCAGGCAGGCAAAGUGACCUGAUCUUGUGACAGGGCCCCACUUUUACCAGAAGAGUCGCCAGAAAUUGUGUGUGCCACAGAUGUGAAGCUCCACAGAAGACUGAUGGGGCGCGUGGACUCUUGGACAGUGAGGGGCAUGUGCUUGUGGAGUUGGGGCCUGAAGUACACCCCGUGUUCUGACAAUCAUCCCUAGUCAUGCUCAUCUCUAGUGGGAUGAGAUUUAACCAAUGGAUGCCAGCACAUUUCUGGAACUGAAAGAAUUAGAAACCUAGAAAGGAAUUGUGUCUUUGGCACAUUAGAAAAGCUGCUUCAUUAUACUAGAGAUUCUAGAUUAUGCUGAAUGUGGUCUCUUGGCUGGAGGAUCUCAGCAGUCCAGUCUUUUUUUUUCUAACUGUUAAUUAAAAGAUUUUUUUAUUGAAGUAUAAUUGAUGCACAAUAUUAUAUUGGUUUCAAGUGUACAAUAUAGUGAUUCAACAGUUACCUAUAUUAUAAAUGCUCGCCCCAACUAGUGUAGUUACUGUCAACAUUGAAAAAUGUUAUACACCUAUUGACUAUAUAAUCUAUGCUGUACUUUCAUCCUCAUGACUAACAUAUUGUGAUUGACAUUUUAUCCCCUUCACCUAUUUCACCCACCCACUACAGCCCCUCCCCCAUGGUAAUCAUCAAUCACUUCUCAGCAUCUAUGAGUCUAUUGCUGUUUUGUUCAUUUUGUUUUGUUUUUAGAUUCUACAUGUAAGUGAAAUCAUAUGGUCUUUGUCUUUUUCUGCCUGGCUUAUUUCACAUAGCAUAAUCCCCUCUAGGUCCAUCCAUGUUGUCACAAAUGGUAGGAUUUCUUUCUUUUUUAUGAAUGAAUAAUAU